GAUGAACGCUAGCGGCAGGCCUAACACAUGCAAGUCGAGGGGUAGAACACUUCGGUGUUUGAGACCGGCGCACGGGUGCGUAACGCGUAUGCAAUCUACCUUGUACAGGGGAAUAGCCCAGAGAAAUUUGGAUUAAUGCCCCAUAGUAUAUAACCUUCGCAUGUUGGUUAUAUUAAAGUUCCAACGGUACAAGAUGAGCAUGCGUCCCAUUAGUUAGUUGGUAAGGUAACGGCUUACCAAGACGAUGAUGGGUAGGGGUCCUGAGAGGGGGAUCCCCCACACUGGGACUGAGACACGGACCAGACUCCUACGGGAGGCAGCAGUGAGGAAUAUUGGUAAAUGGGCGCAAGCAUGAACCAGCCAUGCCGCGUGCAGGAAGACGGUCCUAUGGAUUGUAAACUGCUUUUAUACAGGAAGAAACAACUCUACGUGUAGAGUCUUGACGGUACUGUAGGAAUAAGGAUCGGCUAACUCCGUGCCAGCCGCCGCUGUAACAC
rnacentral:rRNA from 1 species